ACGGUCUUUGCUUUUACCCUUUAAUAGUCCAAUUCCUCUCUUUGGCUACUACAUAUAUUUCUUUCUAUUUGCAAAAUUUAAACAAUGUUCGUCAUUCAGAUUAAAAGGUUAUGGAAUCACUCUCCUGGCUAGUUGCUAUAAUUCUUUUAGUUUUUCGGUUAAUGCAUAAUAGCCUUAAUUUACUCCUAUUCUUGCUUAUUAAGCACAUGUUCUUCUUCCUAAUGUAAAACAAUUACAUUUAAUAUUUUUGCACAAAUACACGAGUCUUUGCACGCAUUAUAUAUCAAACUCGGUGUUGCUUGAGCUUGUUUAAUGAUCGCUGAAUCGAAAUAUAAGGUCUAAAUUUACCAACUUUGUUCAUUUUGCAGGUCUAUCCUCUCUUUUUUGCUGUUGGCACUGCUGUUGGUAUUUGCGGGUUCCAACUGGUACGAAACAUCGUAACCAACCCCGAAGUGAGAGUGUCUAAAGAAAACAGAACUGCUGGUAUUCUUGAAAACUACGCUGAGGGGGAGAAAUACGCUGAGCAUGGCCUUCGCAAAUUUGUUCGCAACAAGCGCCCUGAGAUCAUGCCAUCCCUUAACAAGUUCUUUUCAGACCCACAAUGAAGAAAGUUGCGAUAAAGGGAUAUUUUGCUUCGUUUGCAUUGCCUGAGUAAUAAUUACAGUUGCAAACCUCUGAACAAUAUAUCAAUAAAGAUUAUAUUUUUAGGAGCCAGCAUUUUUUUUAAGACCCUUUUCUUCAAUGGAAAACUUUUUUUGAAAUUACAGGGUAUGGAGGUUGUUGUUAAAGAAUAACUAUUGGCAUUUCUUAAUGCCAUUUCAUGAGAUUUCUGAUCUUA